rnacentral:rRNA from 1 species
GACGAACGCUGGCGGCGUGCCUAAUACAUGCGAGUAGAACGCUGAAGGCGGAGCUUGCUCUUCUGGAUGAGUUGCGAACGGGUGAGUAACGCGUAGGUAACCUGCCUGGUAGCGGGGGAUAACUUUUGGAAACGAUAGCUAAUACCGCAUAAGAGUAGAUGUUGCAUGACAUUUACUUAAAAGUUUCAAUUGCAUCACUACCAGAUGGGCCUGCGUUGUAUUAGCUAGUUGGUGGGGUAACGGCUUACCAAGGCGACGAUACAUAGCCGACCUGAGAGGGGGAUCGGCCACACUGGGACUGAGACACGGCCCAGACUCCUACGGGAGGCAGCAGUAGGGAAUGUUCGGCAAUGGACGGAAGUCUGACCGAGCAACGCCGCGUGAGUGAAGAAGGUGUUCGGAUCGUAAAGCUCUGUUGUAAGAGAAGAACGGGUGUGAGAGUGGAAAGUGCACACUGUGACGGUAUCUUACCAGAAAGGGACGGCUACCUAGGU